rnacentral:rRNA from 1 species
AACGAACGCUGGCGGCGCGUUUUAAGCAUGCAAGUCGAGCGGUAAGGUCCUUCGGGACCCCAGAGCGGCGGACGGGUGAGUAACACGUGGAUAAUCUGCCUUCCAGUCCGGGAUAGCACAUGGAAACAUGUGAUAAUACCGGAUACGAUGUGCCUGCCACAUGGCGGGUGCAGGAAAGGUCCUGCGGGAUCGCUGGGAGAUGAGUCCGCGGCCCAUUAGCUGGUUGGCGGGGUAAAGGCCCACCAAGGCGACGAUGGGGUAGCCGGCCUGAGAGGGUGAACGGCCACAUUGGGACUGAGACACGGGUCCAAACUCCUACGGGAGGCAGCAGUGGGAAUGUUGCACAAUGGGCGAAAGCCUGAUGCAGCAACGCCGCGUGAACGAUGAAGGCCUUCGGGUCGUAAAGUUC